AUGAUAUGCAAUGAUGAUCUAUGUAUAACAUUCCAAAUUGAAAAUUUAGGAUGUUACACAAGGAAAGUCCAACUCAAAGUUCAGCUCAAAAUCCGACUGAAGAGAAGUCCAGAUCAAAAUCCGGCUCAAGGAAAGUCCAACUCAAAAUCCAGCUCAAGGAAAGUCCAUCUCAAAUUCCAUCUCAAAAUCCAGCUCAAGGAAAGUCUAGCUCAAAAUCCGGCUCAAGGAAAGUCCAGCUCAAAGUUCAGCUCAAAAUCCGGCUCAAGAAAAGUCCAUCUCAAAAUCCAGCUCAAGGAAAGUCCAGCUAAGAAAAGUCCAUCUCAAGGAAGUUCCAGCUCAAAAUCCAACUCAAGGAAAGUCUAG
rnacentral:rRNA from 1 species